CAAGAAUCACAGAAGGGAACACGAGGGAGAGAAGCGCGGAACGCAGCCCGACGCAGGCGCCUGGGGGAAGUUGUGAAAACGGGAAGUUAGCAGGACCCGCGAGAUUUACAAGCUGACCGCGCACAUUCAUUUUCACCUCUGGUUUCUUUAGUACUGGCUGCCAAAGCCAACCCUCCAGUUCCUAGCCUUCUCCCUAAAAUGCUAUUUUUUAAUGGAAGGAGCGCAGCAUCUGACUCCAGGCCAAAUCUUUUCCCGACACUUACUAGCGUUUUCAUGCUGGGCAAAUCAAUAACUACUCUGAACCCCAGUUUUUUCAUCCAUCAAAUGGCGGUGAUACACUGCUUCUAACACAAGGCCGAGGCAGAACUGUCCCAGAGAAAAUGGAGUUGGAUCUCUGACCAGAGCUGAAAGGGAAAAAGUCUAUCCAACAACUAUAAAGACAGAUGAUUAGUCUGGAUCUCUUCAGUUCAACGAGGGAUUUGUAUCCAGAUAAACUCAGACGAUAUUCAAAAUGUGAAGUCUUUUUAGUCAGGAGUAGCUCCAGGCAUGGAACAGUUCAGAGACUUUUCACAGUUGAAGAUUCCAACGUUCUCCCCCUGCUGACUUCGGUGACAAGGUUACAAGCAAUAGACAGCUCCCUCCAACUGCUAGGUCUCAUUCAUUUCCUGAGUACACAGAAGAUACAGAAACACAGGAAAAUGAUGGCCCAUGUUUGCAGAGAUUCCUUGGUGCUCUGAGAUCGUAAUGAAGUCAUAGAGCAACAAGUUCUAUUCAGCAUCAAAGCAUUUUUCAGACUCUCCCCAUUCCUAUACACAUACACCAACACAGGGGAAAUUUGCAUGGGCUUACAUGGGUACCUACCAAGUGCCCAUCUUCCUGGGUCCCUGCUGCUUCUCCCAGGCACCCAGGAAUCACAAAGACAGGAGAGGCACUGUGCAGGAAAGUGGGCUGUGGGGUACCUGGUGGGAUAAUGCCGAUUUUAUUCUGCUAAGGAGGAAAAUGUGUUAAUAAACGCCUGUGACAUUUAAUGAUGUGGCUUUCA
rnacentral:lncRNA from 1 species